GAUGAACGCUGGCGGCGUGCUUAACACAUGCAAGUCGAGCGAAGCACUAAAGCGGAUUUCUUCGGAUUGAAGGUUUAGUGACUGAGCGGCGGACGGGUGAGUAACGCGUGGGUAACCUGCCUCAUACAGGGGGAUAACAGUUGGAAACGGCUGCUAAUACCGCAUAAGCGCACAGUACCGCAUGGUACGGUGUGAAAAACUCCGGUGGUAUGAGAUGGACCCGCGUCUGAUUAGGUAGUUGGUGGGGUAACGGCCUACCAAGCCGACGAUCAGUAGCCGACCUGAGAGGGUGACCGGCCACAUUGGGACUGAGACACGGCCCAAACUCCUACGGGAGGCAGCAGUGGGGAAUAUUGCACAAUGGGGGAAACCCUGAUGCAGCGACGCCGCGUGAGCGAAGAAGUAUUUCG
rnacentral:rRNA from 1 species